GACGAACGCUGACGGCGUGCCUAACACAUGCAAGUCGAGCGAAGUGAGUACUACGGUACGAACUUAGCGGCGGACGGGUGAGUAACGCGUGGACAAUCUACCCUGUAGACUGGGAUAACACCUCGAAAGGGGUGCUAAUACCGGAUAAUGUCGAGAAGCGGCAUCGCUUUUCGAAGAAAGGAGAGAAUCCGCUAUAGGAGGAGUCCGCGUCCCAUUAGCUAGUUGGUGAGGGUAACGGCCCACCAAGGCGACGAUGGGUAGCCGGCCUGAGAGGGUGAACGGCCACACUGGAACUGAGACACGGUCCAGACUCCUACGGGAGGCAGCAGUGGGGAAUAUUGUGCAAUGGGGGAAACCCUGACACAGCAACGCCGCGUGAGCGAAGAAGGCCUUCGGGUUGUAAAGCUCAAUAGUAUGGGAAGAUAAUGACGGUACCAAACGAAAGCCCCGGCUAACUACGUGCCAGCCGCCGCGGUAAAAC
rnacentral:rRNA from 1 species